UUACCUGGUUGUUUUUGCACAGAUCUGCCCACAUGCUAGUGCCAUCCCCUCCUCUCAUCAGGACAUGGUAGGUGAAGAAGUAUAUGCCAGGUAUGGAGCAGGUGAACUUGCCAGUGGUGGGGUCAUAGUGAUUGCCCAAAUUGGUGACCACAUCAUCGAAUUUGAGCAGCUCAUAGCCCUCGUGCUGGCGUUUGAGCCCAGCAUAGAAGGCUAUCUUGGGCACAGUACUGUAAGUGGCAGCACUAAUAGCCCCAGCAGCGUUUAGCCCAGGGUUCCCAGCUGGACCUGGAAGCCCUGGUCUCCCCACCUCCCCUUUAUCCCCCGGAGGUCCCAUUGGUCCAGGUGGCCCUGGUUCUCCAGGAGGUCCCCGAGGUCCAGCUUUCCCUGGUCGCCCGGGCUCCCCCUUGGGUCCCUGUAUGAAGGUGGGCAGUGACUGGAGAAGGCUGUGCUCCCGAACCGUCUCUGCUGUAGCAGUACUGGGAGGUUUGGUCCCAUAAGGAUCGCAGACCAUGCGGCACGUUCCCAGCAUCUCGUAGUGAGCCGAUGUCCCAGCGGAGUUGACCAGAACCGGGAUGAGGACCACCAGAAGAAGCACCAUGAUCACCCCCAGCGCCCCGGCGGCCACCAGCCUCUUCCUGGCCACCAGCCGGCUCAGAGCUGGCCGUUCCUCCUGUCUGCUUUUCGACGAAAUCUUGAAGCCUUACUGAGAACCUCCACUAAAUAGAAAAUAAAACUAUUCUCCUGUCCUGGCUGCCGGCACCUGGACCCUGUGCUGGUGGACAAUGACCAGGAGUCAGGAGGUCUCCAGCCCUGUCCUGAAGAUGUCCUGCUCAGAGAGAUCUAUCUGGGUCCUGUCUCUGGACCCUCAGGUGAAGCAGUCCUGCCCAACUUUGCUUCCUCAGUUCAGUUAUCUCUCUCUGAGUUCAAGGGGGGGAGGGAGGGGGACUGGCUGUCUGUGUCCCCUUUUUCCCACAGGGGAGUUGGCUCGUUCUCCUACCUGGGUGGUCCUCUCUAUUGUCACUGAUGCUGCGAUCACACUGAUACAAUGUGUCCCAUCACCAGGAAUCAAAUGGAACGUUGAUGUAUCUCUCACCUCUUCGCUCAGACUCCAGUACCAUGAGCUGCCUUAAAACCCACGUGUAGCAAUCACCGCCUCCCAGCCCCAGGGCUGAGCAUCUUCUCUUCAACUAAUAGGGAUCGACUUUUAUUCUGCAAACUCUGCCAGUUCAGUUCAACUUUCCUCAGCUGCUCCUUUUCUGCCUGUG